rnacentral:tRNA from 1 species
GUUGCCGUAGUGUAGUGGUCAUCACGUUUGCCUUACACGCAAAAGGUCCCCAGUUCGAAACUGGGCGGAAACA